UCCUCAGGCACCAGGGCGUCCAGUGGCCGCUUUCUCAACAAGGCGAAGGCCGCACUUCCGGACCGCUACUCGUGCGGAACCCAAAGCCGGUGCCGCCGGGGAGCGGGCGGAGUGCAGAGCUGAAGCAUGUUUCCGGUGUUUCCCCGAAACUGCCACCGCCUCCGAGCUGCACUUCCGGCCCUCUUUAGACUCGGAACCAAAGUUGCUGAACUUGGAGCGGCCGUGGCGCGAGGAAUCUCUGGGCUUGAAGACGUUUCCGGGGUCGUCCUAGUGACCAAGGCGGGACCAGUCUGGAGACUGCGCGCAAACUUGGUGGGUUAGAGGCGGGGCCCUCCCGUUCUGUCUCACGGCUUGAACCUCGGUGACACCUGUGGAAGCGGGUAUCUCCGCCUUGACGCGAAGCAGCGGGAGCCCGGGUCGCACGCGGCGGGACUAUAAAGAAAGGAACUCUUCUCUGCCGGAAGGGAAAAACAGCUAUGAGAAAGUAAGCAGCCAGGAACCGAAGAUCAAAAGUCACUGGAGGAGAAGGAAUCUGGGAAGAGUUGCCUGGAGAGAGGAGGGCUUCCACCUGCAAGAGUGGACACCUCACCCCACGAAGUGGAGUGGUGGCCAAAGCCCCCAUGACCCAGACCCACUAUGUGGUGGGCUGACCAAUCCGUUCUUCUAAGUGGCCCCUUGGUCUCUCGUUUCCUUGCAUCUUUCUGUCUGCUGGAGUCUGGCACUGGCACAGGACAUGUGAGACUGGUGAAGACCUUGAAGUUCUCUUCCUCUGUGAUGACCCUGACCUUCUCCUUCUUGCAGUUGUUCUGGAUGGGCAUCAGUGGAAUGGCUAAUUUGGCUUCCUCAGAACAGCUGUCUCCCAUCCUUGAUUAGAGGAUAAGAUUGGAGUGGCUGCAUAUUGGCCUAUGGGACUCAGUGGGUUUGCUCUGCCUCCUUGGGUCCACCAAGAUGCCAGUGAUCCCAGACCACCUUCUUGUGAAUGCUAUCACCUGCAGCUCCUCCAGACUGAAGCCUCUGGCAGCUGGGAUCUUGGUAUAGUACUGCACCUGGGGUGGCAUGCAAUAGGUAAUUGGGUCAGGCUGCAAGGCAAUGCAGUACUCUUGCCUGCCAGGACCUCUGCCUGUGGACCUUUUGCACCUGCUGGUUAAACCACACAGCCAUGAGUCCCUUCCAGUCCUUGAGGAAAUGGGCUUCAGAGUCAUGCUGUCCCAGAACAGCUAAGCAGAAAGCUGUAUAUUUUCAUGUUAUGAGUAUUUUGUGUCAUUGAAACCAUACCUUGCCAGGCGUCGUGGUGCACGCUUGUAAUCCCAGCGCUCAGGAGGCUGAGGCAGGAGGAUCGCUGUGAGUUUGAG